rnacentral:rRNA from 1 species
UACGUAGGGUGCAAGCGUUGUCCGGAAUUAUUGGGCGUAAAGAGCUCGUAGGCGGUUUGUCGCGUCUGCUGUGAAAACUCGGGGCUUAACUCCGGGCCUGCAGUGGGUACGGGCAGACUAGAGUGCGGUAGGGGAGACUGGAAUUCCUGGUGUAGCGGUGAAAUGCGCAGAUAUCAAGAGGAACACCUGCGGCGAAGGCGGGUUGCUGGGCCGACACUGACGCUGAGGCGCGAAAGCUAGGGGAGCGAACGGG